AUUGAACGCUGGCGGCAGGCUUAACACAUGCAAGUCGAGCGAGCGGCGGACGGGUGAGUAAUGUCUGGGAAACUGCCUGAUGGAGGGGGAUAACUACUGGAAACGGUAUCUAAUACCGCAUACCAUCGGAUGUGCCCAGAUGGGAGUAGCUAGUAGGUGGGGUAAAGGCUCACCUAGGCGACGAUCCCUAGCUGGUCGGAGAGGAUGACCAGCGACACUGGAAGUGAGACAAGGACCAGACUCCUACGGGAGGAACCAGUGGGGAAUAUUGCACAAUGGGCGCAAGCCUGAUGCAGCCAUGGCGCGUGUAUGAAGAGGGCCUUCGGGUUGUAAAGUAAUUUCAGCGGGGAGGCGUUACUCGCAGAAGAAGCACCGGCUAACUCCGUGCCAGCAGCCGCGGUAAUUC
rnacentral:rRNA from 1 species